UACAGAGGGUGCAAGCGUUAAUCGGAAUUACUGGGCGUAAAGCGUGCGUAGACGGUUACAUAAGUCAGAUGUGAAAGCCCCGGGCUCAACCUGGGAAUUGCAUUUGAGACUGUGUAGCUAGGGUGCGGAAGAGGGAAGCGGAAUUUCCGGUGUAGCGGUGAAAUGCGUAGAUAUCGGAAGGAACACCAGUGGCGAAAGCGGCUUCCUGGUCCAGCACCGACGUUCAGGCACGAAAGCGUGGGGAGCAAACAGG
rnacentral:rRNA from 2 species